UACGUAGGGUGCGAGCGUUAAUCGGAAUUACUGGGCGUAAAGUGUGCGCAGGUGGCUUCGCAAGUCGAGUGUGAAAGCCCCGGGCUUAACCUGGGAAUUGCGCUCGAAACUACGGAGCUGGAGUAUGGCAGAGGGAGGUGGAAUUCCACGUGUAGCGGUGAAAUGCGUAGAGAUGUGGAGGAACACCAAUGGCGAAGGCAGCCUCCUGGGCCGUUCCUGACGCUGAGGCGCGAAAGCUGGGGGAGCGAACGGG
rnacentral:rRNA from 1 species